CUGUAAAAAGACUUAUAUUUAGAAACGGAGGGAGUACUAUAAAGUUGUAAGUUAUAAGUUUAUGACACACACGGUCCACACUGGACAAUACCAAAGAGGACAACCAUUAUAGCACCACGACAAAACAUACCCUGCUGAAAAGAAACAUACAAGGGGGUCGAUUGCUACCAGAGAAGUAGGAGCCGUUGGAGCACCAUAGCUGAAGAAAGCAUUGCCAUCGCAGAGCAAAUAUCACUGGCGCGUCAACCGGGGUUCAAUCCUAUGUUCACCCCGUUUUGGGGGGUUUCCCUCCUUUUUCUCCGUUAGCCAUCCCUUAAUUUGUUCACUUAAUAGAGGGUCGAGAAUCACACGUGACCUGGAAGCAUGGCAUGUUAUUGAAGUUCUCUUUUUUGGAACGUUAAAAAGAAUUACUCUGCGUGAUUUGAUUUUUUUUUUGCGACAACACCCGCAUUAUAUAUUUCUAUUUGAAACCAUUGCUAUGGACAACAUUUUUUACUCCAUUAUAUAUGUAGGCUUGAGCUUCAGGGCUUGCUUGCUAGGGUUGCUCCCGUCUCACUCUCUCACCAUUUCCAAAUCCAAACAGGACGAUAGUGGCCACUCUAUCUCUUUCCUCACCGGGCCAUAGAUUUGACCGGAUCCCGUCGGCUGGGGAAGGGGAGGAGAUGCAGCAUUGACAUGGUCGCCGUUGGCGAGGGACGAAGCCUACGCACACCAUCCUCUGUGAGCUAGUGCUAGCGCGGAAAGGCCUCUGUGCCCUUGCUCGCUGCCGUCGUAUGGGGAAGAUCCUGCUGCCGGCCUCGCCACAUCUCGCCGACCUAAGCUUUUACUAUUAGAGGAAAGGCUACCCCAUGAAGACAAAAAGAUGUCCUCGUUGAAUGAGGAAAAAUACUAGGCAAUUGUAUGAAGUGAACGAUUCUUACAUAUACAUAUGGGUCGAACUAUAAAUGAGUUCUUCCAGGUGGCGUUGGAUGAUAUGAAUCACAAUUUCAUGCCUGGUUACACAUGGUGGACAAGUCAUGAUGAGGAUGAGGAGGAUGCCGAAGUCGAAGGGGCGGAAUAUGAUGAUGAGCCAGAAGAAGGCAUGAAGAACGAGGCUGAACAUGAAAAGCACCUGGAUGGAUAGGAAGGCUGUGCGGAGGUUCAGGAAGUGAGAAACCUUUUGUACAAAAGGCAGAUAGAACCGAGUGAUAAAGACCUGUCCAAGAAGGAAUAUGUAGAUAACCAUGAUGACCAACAAUCUGGCAUUUAUCAAGAAGAAGAUGAAGUCCAGCUCAAAACGAAGUGUACGAAAAGAAGCCAAAGCACGUUGUUGGAUGUAGAAAGUUCUGUCGAGAGAAUUCAAAAAUGAUGGGGCAGUUGAUUUUAUAUAUCUUUUAUUACUUAACAUCA